UUCUAAUAUGUUAUUUCAGAUUGUUCAAAAAGGGACAAUUUUUGCUCGAAUGUUACCAGAACAAAAGUUACAUUUAAUAGAAGCUCUUCAAAAUUUAGAUCAUCAGGUAGGGAUGUGUGGAGAUGGAGCAAAUGAUUGUGGAGCAUUAAAAG